CCCUGCCGUAAACUUUUAAUUACAUCCAUACCGCCAGGGAACUACGAGCAAUGCUUAAAACCCAAAGGACUUGACGGUGCCCCACAUCCGCCUAGAGGAGCCUGUCCUAGAAUCGAUGAUCCCCGUUUAACCUCACCCUUGCUUGCUACUCAGUCUGUAUACCUCCGUCGUCAGUCCACCACGUGAGUGCAACUCAGUGGGCCCAAUUGCUUAUUUAACGCUAAUACGUCAGGUCAAGGUGCAGCUUAUGCAAGGGGAAGAGAUGGGCUACACUCUCUAACUUAGAAGAUACGAAAGACUACCUAUGAAACAUAGUCUGAAGGAGGAUUUAGCAGUAAGAGGGAACUAGAGUGUUCCUCUUAACACGGCUCUGGGGUGUGUACACACCGCCCGUCACCCUCUUCAAAGUAAAACAUCUAGUUUUUAACUCGCUACCACUAUAAAGAAGAGGCAAGUCCGUAACAUGGUAAGCGUACCGGAAGGUGUGCUUGGAAA
rnacentral:rRNA from 1 species